UGCUCGGAAAUCCUGCUGAAAUCUUCCAUUGGCUGGAUCCACAAGAAAGCCAGAAGAUAGGGGAGCCAGGUCCAUACAGUCUGUAGAGGUUCCGGACAAAUGAAAAUAUCCAGCACACCAUUUCUACAACCUUGGGUUUAUCAUGCUUUGAAGUACUAGUUCAAAAGGAAGAAAUGUUUCCACUAGAGGACCCAGCCAUAGCUCCAUUGAAUUGGAAGCUGAAACUGCCCCCUGAUCAGUUUGGUUCCUCAUCAUGAUGGAAUUGGAAUAACUGAUCCUAAUUACCAAGAGGAAAUUGGGUUGCAGCUAUACAAUGAGGGCAAGGGGAAAUGUGCAUGACUCCCAAAGAUUCACUGAGCAUAUGUUAAUACUCCCAUGUGCAAUAAUAAUGAUCAUUAGAUAACUACAGUAACCUGAUAAAGUCAGGAGCACUUAAAUUUCAGACCAUACAGGAAUUAAAGUGUUGUAUCACCAUACCAGGUAAAAAAUCCUAAUCUACUAAGAUACUGUAUAGAGCAAGGGAAACAAAAGUGAAUGAAGUAGGAAAUUAUGAUUAUCAAUUUUAGCCUAGCAACAAUCUAUAGAGGCAGGGACUACUGUAGCUCUGUAUAUAAAACGUUAAUUGAUUAUUUCUUCCCUGCCCUUCCUUUCCCUCUUUCCUUGAAUGAAGAAUACUGAUGGAGACAAACAUUAUAAUUUAGUUUCUAGGUCAGAGUAUUGCCGUCACCUCAAAGCAAUAUAGUACUUGGUAGGACUCUGUGAUUCUCAUGUUUAGGGGAUGCGUUUCUCUCCAUCUGAGCAAAGGGAAAGAAUAAAUACUGGGUGGCAAAACAGGUAGACUAUCCCGGUCUUCUAUUUGCCUCCCCUCAUAUCCAUUCUCCCCCCUUCCUUGCCCUAUUCUAUACCCCAGCAGCUGACCUCUUUGGAAAACAGCACCUGGGCUCUUCUCAGCUGGCUUCCAUUUGGGUUGGGACUUUGGAGGCAUCCACAGGAGACAGGAGGCAGGAGAAAAGAGAGGUCAUUCCAGAAAGAUGAGGAUAUACAGUAUCUUUACAUUCAUGGCUUACUGUUGUUUGCUGAAAGCAUUUACUAUCACAGUUCCCAAGGACCUGUAUGUGGUAGAAUAUGGCAGCAAUGUGACAUUGGAAUGCAGAUUUCCAGUAGACAAACAAUUAAACCUGUUGGCAUUAGUUGUUUACUGGGAAAUGGAGGAUAAGAAAAUUAUUCAGUUUGUGAAUGGGGAGGAAGACCUGAAUGUUCAACACAGUAGCUACAACCAGAGGGCCCUGCUGUUGAAGAACCAGCUCCCCUUGGGGAAGGCCGCACUUCAGAUAACAGAUGUGAAAUUGCAGGAUGCAGGAAUUUACUGCUGCUUGAUCAGCUAUGGCGGUGCCGACUACAAGCGGAUUACUUUGAAAGUCAAUGCUUCAUACCGCAAAAUCAACCAAACAAUUUCUGUGGAUCCAGUCACCUCUGAACAUGAACUAAUGUGUCAGGCUGAGGGUUACCCUGAGGCUGAAGUCAUCUGGACAAACAGUGACCACCGAGUCCUGAGUGGCAAAACCACCAUUACCAGUUCCAAGAGGGAGGAGAAGCUUUUCAAUGUGACCAGCACACUAAGAAUCAACACAACAGCUAACGAGAUUUUCUACUGCAUUUUUCGGAGAUUAGGUCAUGAGGAAAACAGUACAGCUGAAUUGGUCAUCCCAGAACCAUAUCCAGAUCCAGCAAAAAAGAGGACUCACUUGGUGAUUCUGGGAGCUCUCCUGUUGUUCCUUAGUGUAACCCUGACAAUCAUCUUCUAUCUAAAAAGAGAUGGUAUUUCCUUUAUUGUAAUAGUCUCCAUUGGGGUUGAGGAGAAGUGUAUGAGAGUGCUACUGUUGUCACAAUGGCACUUAGUGGGCAGAGCCAGGGAUGCUAAAUCUCCUGUAAUCUGCAGAACAGUCCCAUGUAACAGGGAGCUUUUCUACCCAAAAUGCUAGAGGUGCCCCCAGCAGGAAACAGUGAUUUAUCAAAUGGUUUCCUAUUAGCUUUCCCUUCCAGGGCCAACUUUCAGUUAUGCAAAGUAGGUUUUUAGUUACUGUUCUGCAGUAUCACUUUCAUUGAAGGGCGGCAGUGAACACUUGUAGUAACCUUUCCAAGGGGGUGAGAAUUGGAUCAUGGCUGCAAGCAAACCUGACUUGCCUCUGCAAGGUAGCACAAAGACACUCCACUGUUUGAUAGCAAUUAUAGUGAAGCUGUACAGGAUUGCUGGGUGAAGAUUGUGAGAGAAAGGUUGUGUAUGGAGGUUGAAGAAGACCAAGUGUUAAACAAUUUCUUUCUGUCAUGCAAAUAACCACAGACUUACAGAAGAGAAAAAGCUAAAUGCCUGUUGGUUUCAGUUCAAUUUGUCAAGCAUUAGUUGCACUGUUAUAUUGAGCUGGUUUCUGGGACCUUUAAAUAAUAAAAAUAGUUCUUUAUGGAGAGCAGUGAUACUUUUACCAUAGAGUAGUUUGCAAGAUUUCUGGCUGAGGGUGUUAUAUAGAUUUUAAAAUAAUUUUAAUGUGUGUAUUUCUCUAUUUACCCAAGGGGGCAAUUAAAAUUCAGGGAAACGUGGCUAUUCAAAUAAUUUCCUUUCAUUUUAAGAUGAUUCAGAGCGAACAUUUCCCCAGUACUUUGAGAAGUACACCAAAGGAUCUGAUGAUGAUCUGUGUAUAGAGUUAUCUGAUGACAAAUAGGGAAGUGGAAAAUGGAAGGGAAUUCCAAUAGUCGUUGAGAAAUUCCCUACAACCCCUUAAGAGGUGGGUGGAUCUGGGAAAGUGGUGUAAUUGAGGGAGUGGAGGUCAGCUUCUUCUAAUGAACAAGUACUUAACAGAACUGAGAUAGCCAGAGUAUAAGGAUCAAGUUUCAGUGAUAGGAAGACCUGAGAUGGCUUUGAUUUGUCCAAGGAAGUGGCUGUGGCCAACUUGCAUUUCCAUGUGAAAAAUAAUUAGUUGGCAUUAGAAACGACUAGAUAACCAGCGUAUAAUAAAGUAUCUCAGAAUAUGGUACAUCUCUGGGGGAAGAAUGGAAAAUAUAAGUAUAUACUCCUGAAUAAAAUCUAGAAAAUUUUGAAUUAAUUAAACUGUUGAAUUAACCUCAGGGGUUGGGACUCCUGGAAUAUGGAAGUCUACCAGAUUUCCUAAGGGAUUAAAAAUGUUUCAUAGGAACCUGGGAUUUAAACUUGAGUCACUGUGUGGGAUGUAGAGUUGUGUUAUAUGGAAAUAAAAAUAAUUUUUUUUUCAAGUGGAAGUGAUGGAUAUGGAAAAAUGUGGCACCCGAGAUAUGAACUCAAAGCAGCAAAAUGAUACACAAUUUGAGGAGACGUAAUCCGACGUUGAAACUUCUGAUCUUAAAGCAGGGAUUCUCAGCCUGUGGUUUGGGUUCGUCAGGGCUAGGCAUGACCAGAGGCAUGCAAUGGGCCAGUGGGCUGCAGAUGAUGUAGAACUUAAAAGGCCCAAGCUCUGAAAAUGGAAGCUGGGAAAGAAGAAGAGAACAAAGGAAGAAGGAGUAAAAAAGGUAGCCUUAGCCUGGAAGGAAACCUUGGUACUUCAAAAUGACUGGGAGACUCAUCAAUGCAUAUGAAAAGGAGAAAGGACACUUCUGAAUGAUAAAUCUCCACGCAAAUUAUCCAUCACUCAUCCUAGGAAAACAGGUUGAGAUUCCCUGAUUUAAUGGUCAGUUCCUGCAGAAGUGCCCUUUGCCUUCACUCAGUGUUGAUUUGUCUUCUGGGUAAUUGAGAGUCCCAGUGUUGCAACAGUACUUAAGUAUGAGUUAUUUUUAUUUAUUUUAAGUCUGUGGGGUCUUGUCAUGUGAGUGUGGUUGUGAGUGAUUUCUUUUGAAGAUAUGCUGUAUUAGAAGUUAAAAUUAUGUCACCAGACCAAACUUACUGCUUGAUGACUUGUGUGUGUCCAGCAAAAUAUAGUAUUUGUAAGUUGCUUGAUAUCCUCUAUAACUAUCAGUACAUAGGAACCAUAGAGAACAAACCAUUGGUUUGUAUAGGAUAUUACCUUAUUUAACCCAUUGAUACUUUGACUGACUUGGAUAAUCUUAUUCUCAGACCUCAAAGUAAGAUACAUUACCAAAAUAUGUUACGUUUAAGUAUCAGCUUUACAACUAUGUGUACACAUAAUCUCAUUUCAUUCCUGUAGCAGCUGUGUUAUAGCAAGCACUAUUCUACCCAUUUCACAGCUGAGGGAGCAAAGAUAAAAUAACGUGCCCAAGACAAUAAACAGCAGACCUCAGAUAUCCGAGACUGUCACCCACUGUCCUUUUAUUUCUUUCUUUUAAUUAAGGUGUAGUUGAUUUACAAUGUUGUGCCGAUCUUUGCUGUACAGCAAAGUAACUCAGUUAUACACAUAUACACAUUCUUUUUAAUAUUUUUUUAAUUAAAAAAUUUUUUUAACCACUGUCCUUUUAGAAUACAAUUUACAGCUCUGUUUUACUUUAAGAAAUUCAUUCAUUCAGUGAACAUUUAGGAAGCGCCCUACCAUGUUAAUCACUGUGCCAGGCAGAGUAUACAGAUGUGAGCAAGAUAAAGCACUUCCCCUCGAGGAGCUCAUAGUAUCAUGGGGACAGCAGUAAGAAAAUGUAUUGCUACAACAUGGUGCAUUAUCAUAGUAUACGGUGUUCGAGGAGAAUGCUUGUAUGAGGAGGAAAGUCUAGAAAUGCUGCCGAAGGAGGGGACGCUCUGGGUAGCCAGCCAGUGUGUUCCUGGACAGUUGAAAAUACUUAAACAUUUUAAUAAUCAAAGCAAUUUUAGUUUAUGAGAUGUCAGAUUUUUUAAAACUGUGGAAAACAGCUCUUGAAUUCCUUUUCUAUGACUAUAUUUACCCCUGAUUUGUUUGCCUUUGCCAUGCAAUUUGAUGUUUAUUUAUAUAGUGCCUAGUAUUGUCUAGCAGUUUUCUUUUUUAUUUAAAUGCAAUUGAAUUUUGAAUUCAUACUUUUUUAUGAUUCAAAAUUCAAAAAGUCCAGUAGGAGACAUUAAAAAGUCUCUAUUCCAUCCUCCUACUCAUCUAGUUUCCCUUUCCAGAAGCAAUAACACUUGUCUUUUGUUUAUUUGUCUUCUAAAGAUAUUCUAUGAACAUAUGUGGAAAUGUUUGUAAAAUGUGUAUAUAUUUUUAGUUUUUGCUCUUUUUCACAUAAGUAGUAAUGCAUUAUGCGUCUUCUGUGCCCUUUGCUAUUUUUAUUUAAUAUACUAUUUCUUAUGUAGUAGACAGAACAAAUUUGAAGUUCCCAGUGGCUGGGUACUAUGUCUUGUUUGUUCUAGGUCAUCUUUUCCAUAGUCUCUUAGUAUCUUUCAUAUGAUGUAGUACAUACUAAAGAGUUACUACAUCUACAUUUAGACAACCAGCAUUUGUCGAGUACUUGCUCUAUGACUGUGUUUGGAUUUGGUUUAUUUUGUGUUUCUCAAAGAGAGAAUGUGUUUCUCAAAAUGGAUUUUCCAGGGUACAUGGGGUCAACCUGGCUCUAAAGGAUGACUUUAUUGCUAAGUCUGUAUGACAGAAUCAUGUCUGGAACUUGUUUUUUUUCUGUUUUCUCUUGAGUAUAAACUUGAAUUCGGGG